GAUGAACGCUGGCGGCGUGCCUAAUACAUGCAAGUCGAGCGAACGGACGAGAAGCUUGCUUCUCUGAUGUUAGCGGCGGACGGGUGAGUAACACGUGGAUAACCUACCUAUAAGACUGGGAUAACUUCGGGAAACCGGAGCUAAUACCGGAUAAUAUUUUGAACCGCAUGGUUCAAAAGUGAAAGACGGUCUUGCUGUCACUUAUAGAUGGAUCCGUGCUGCAUUAGCUAGUUGGUAAGGUAACGGCUUACCAAGGCAACGAUGCAUAGCCGACCUGAGAGGGUGAUCGGCCGCACUGGAACUGAGACACGGUCCAGACUCCUACGGGAGGCAGCAGUAGGGAAUCUUCCGCAAUGGGCGAAAGCCUGACGGAGCAACGCCGCGUGAGUGAUGAAGGUCUUCGGAUCGUAAAACUCUGUUAUUAGGGAAGAACAUAUGUGUAAGUAACUGUGCACAUCUUGACGGUACCUAAUCAGAAAGCCACGGCUAACUACGUG
rnacentral:rRNA from 1 species